GCUGUAGCCCAGGGGUAGAGCAUCUGCUUUGCAUGCCAAAGGUCUCACGUUCGAUCCCUGGCAUCUCCA